GGCCUCAUGGUGUAACGGUAACACAUCUUCAGUUGAUAUUGUUCAGCAGUUUGAGCAGGUCCCUUGUUCGAAUCAAGGUGAGGCUA